UUUGCAUUUUCUUAUUAAUUUCCCAAAUUAGACCCACCACUGAACCCGCCAACGCGUUCAUCUCUCUCUCUAACAUAACAGCAUUUUCUCUCUCUUACCUCCUUCGUCCCCCAUUUCUGAGAGAAAAAACAGGGGGCAAUUUAUGACCCGAUUUUAAAAUCCUCCAUACCCGACCCGUUUCCCUCCAUAAUCACCCGGUCGUCUCCAUUACAUGUUCCCCUAAUUCCUGGGGGGCAUCAUUAUCACCUCCAACUUUUCCUAUUUUGUUUUUCCCUUUCAAAUUUCUGGAAGAAAUAAACAUACUGGAAUUGUACCCAUUUUGUUGAUCCCUCAAAAAUCAGAGAAUAUUGGUGGGUGCCAUCAUUGCAAAUUUAUGAAUCUCAUUAUGCCCAAUUGUUGAUUAUGGUGAAGAAUUUGCUUAAUUUGAGAAAGACCCAGAUGCUCAAUUGUUAAAUAUCUGACAUUUUCUUGAAUUUGGAGAAGAUUUUGCUUAAUUGGAGAAGAAACCAGCUGCCCAAUUGUUAAAUCUCCAACAUUUUCUUGAAUUGGAAGAAGAUUUUGCUUAAUUUAAGAAGGACCCAGAUGCCCAAUUGUUGAAUAUCUGACAUUUUCUUGAAUUGGGAGAAGAUUUUGCUUAAUUUGAGAAAGACAGAGGUGUUCGAUUGUUAAGGAUCCGGCAUUUUGUUGAAUUUGGUGAAGAUUUUGGAUUCCCAUUUGCUUAAGCCCCGGUAUUUUGUUGAAUUUGGUGAAGAUUUUGCUUAAUUUGAGAAAGACCCAGAUGCCAGGAGGCUUUGGAGAGGCUUAUGGAUAUUGAAGAUUCACAUAGUUGAAACCCCAAUCAGCUUUCACUCGAGGCUUAGUGAUCAAUUUGCCCAUGUAUGGAUUCGCCAUUGUUGAUCUUAACUUUGGGUGUUUGCUUUUGCUUUCUUGCUUUCCCUGUGCAAUCUCAGCAAAAUGUGAAUCCGGGAUCAAAAUCAGCUCCUCCCCCAUCUAAUAAAUCUCUACCACGGCCUCCUCCGCCUCUGCCAUCACCAUCACGACGGCCUUCUGUGCCACCACAGAGUCGUCACCAUGCUCCGCCACCUACAAUGCAUUCUUCUCCGAAGAUGGCACCCACCUCGGAGAGUAAACCCUCUAACCACGAUAAAAACAACCAUAAAUCUCCGGCGAAUUCGCCUCCACCCGUGAAGAAAAAGAAGAAGAUAAAUUGGGGGAAGAUACUGGGGUUCGUGUUUGUGGGUGUUGCUGCGGUCUUGCAGGUUGUUGUGGUGGCGUUCUUGCUAAUAAAGAGAAGACAAUUGUUAAAGGCUGGUACUGGAUUGUGAAGGAACAUUUGAAUAUGGGAUGUAUAUCAACUACCGUUUGUUUUAGCAGUUAGUCUAAUUAAUUCAGAUCUUUAAGAGAAAGCUAUGCAAUGAGCAUUGAGCAUGGCAUUAAUGAAGUAGAAGGAUUAAGGAUUCGACUGAAAUGUUGAUUUCUGCAUUUGCGUCGGUCGCUACUGUAAAUUAGGUCUCAAAGUUGUAAGAUGACAUCUUGCUUCCUUUGUCAACUUUAAGGAACUGUGUUGGAUUUGUUCUGGAGAACAGAAUGUUACGUCUUCUCUGUCCGGUGAGUAAAGAAUGUUGUAGGGAAACGAGUAUACUGUUGAUGGAGGCAUGACCUGUCAUCAUCGAAACUGAAAUAUGAUUUCUAAUGUAGAGGUUAAAUUAAACACUAUAAAACUCUAUUAACUAUUGUUAUAGUCUAACUGAUGUAUGUUACACUGCAAAAUAACAAUAUCUACCUUGAUUCUUGAA